ensembl:lncRNA
UUCCUGAAAAGCCUGGAAAUUCAGCUUUAAAUUGUUUUGUUUGUUUCUGUUUACCAAUGGUAUUCUCCUUCUAAAAGAGAAGCCCACAUCUCCCCAAAAUGAAAUCACUGCUGUGUCAAGUGAGCUAAAAUGAGAACCACAUGAAGAUAAGAUAGAUUUUUAUCAUGCUGCUACACUUUUUCAGAUUUUAUGCCUUCCCUGAUGCUGGAAUCAGAAAUUUACAACUAAUCAGCUUUAUUCCACGACUGAGGGAUAAAGUGGACUAAGUUCUGAAACCUCGACAAGCUGUAAAUCACAAUGACCUUCCCUCCUUAUAAUUGAUUCAUGUCUUUAUAAGAAGAGUCACCAGAAUGGAUGUUCACAAAGAAAAUACUACAUGAGGACACAACAAGAAAAUAAUUAUUUGCAAGUCAAGCAAAGAGGACUGAGGAGAAACAAAACUUGGUGCUCCUCAACUUUUACUAUCAGCCAUAAGAACUCUAAGAUCAUGCACUGGAAUUGAUGAGUGACAGCAUGGAGCCUAUCCCUUAGGAAGAACUCUCCAGAAAGCCCUGAAC